UCAUGUAAUAAAUGUUUUUUUGGUUAAGUUUUAGUUAACAAUAAUAACCCUGCUUCACCAUUUUAUAUAAAUACUUCCUUAAUAUUUCCAACACAAGCAUAUUUGUAAACAUUACAAAGUUUAAUUCAUGAUGCAGAACCCGAAUGAUCCAGGAAAUCUCACAAUGCAAAAACAAAUCAAAUUAAAACAAGUAAUUUAUUUUCCUCUCUUCUGUCAACUAUGAUGCCCAUAGGCUUAAAAAUAUAGAAAAUCACUGAAAAAAAAGUAACAAGAAACACAAAACCCACACAAAACAAAGCCAGGCAGAACACAUGGUUUGAAGUUUAGCUGUGCUGAAAUGCGAUCAGGGGUGUGUGACGGGCUUAUGAUGCCCCCAGUAAUGGGGAAACAAGCAGAAAAUGUAUUCAUAAGGGUUAAGCCUCUUUGCUAAAACACAACUCCUGCUGCUUCAUGCUGUAAAGAGUUCCAUCAGAGGAGCGUCCGCGAUAGCGCCACACCGCUUUAUCUGCAGUGGGCGGCAUUGCUCUCCUGUCUUUAGCUAUGCUUCACUAGUAAUGCGUGACUGCCACAUGACCGCAAACAGGAACUACCAGCAGCAGCAUCCCAGAAGACACCAGACACAUUCCUGUUGCACUUAGGUUGACCUCGGAUCUCACAUCAUCCCGAACAUUCCCUCUGAGCAUCUCGGAGUGAGACUUCUGACUGCCACAUCAAUUAUGUCCAUCUGUUGAGCUUUGUUUUGCUUUUAUUUUCAUGGUCGCAUGAGAAGGAUCUAAUGGCAUACUUUCCGUUUCAGUGGUUUAAAGUUAAAGGGACAGUGCAUUUUAUAUAUACAUUUUAUAUAUAUCUUGCAUUGAAAUUAACUUAAAACUAUUUUCUAUGCAAUUACUUUGAAUGGGCACUGAAAAGCUUGAAAGCAUUAAAACAGACACAAAUGUAACAAAUACAUUUGACAUAAAUAUUAAGUUAUAUGAUAACUUUGUGUGAGAAACAGCCAAAUUUACUUUCACUGAAGAUCUUGAUGUGCAUUUGCUUUAAUUUGAGUUUUAAUAAAAAAAUAUAUGUCCAAUUCAUGAACAAACUGAUUAGAUCUGUUCAAUGAAUUAGUUGAUUUAGUUCACCAAACUGACCCGAAUGAUUCGUUCACAAGUUUGUCUCCUAUUUGAUGAAGUAUGCAUCAUUGAUUCUGUUAUUUUCCUGUUUAUUACUUUGAAGCUGCUUUGAAACCAUCUUUACUAUAUAAAGCACUAUAGAAAUAAAGAUGACUUCAUUUGACAAAUCAAACUGUUCCCUACUGAUUCUCUCACAAGGGGUUAUCAGCUUACUGGAGGAAAAAAAAUAAUUAACUUACAUUUCCUCACACAUAUUUAUUGUAUGACUUCAGAAAAUGUGAAAUAUAGUGCACAAAUUAUUUGGACUCAUUUUGUUCGAGCUGCACAAUUAAUUGUUAAAAGAUUGCAAUGUUGAUUCAAACACCACAAAAUCUUAUUCUUAAAUGACAACAAUUCCCCUGUGUCUAAUAAACCUUUGACAAAACCUCACCUGAACAUUCAAAUCUAUGUUUGCAGUACUACCAAUGACCUAGAGAAAGCAGUUAUCAUGUAGAUAUGAAACAGCUUCACAAACAGUCUUUGCAACAUCACCAGAAAUGGUUAUUUCUGUUACAAACACUCAACUAUGUUAGCAAUCAAAAUAGAGCAAAUCAGCUUUUGAAAGUGGAGCUUCAAAUAACUACUGUAUUGAUUAAAUUGUUAUGCCAAUAGGGGGCAACAAGUGACUUAAAUGUAUUUGUCUUUGAAUCAUUCAUUCAAGAGAUUUGGACAAAAACGCUGAUUCAUCUAGUAAUGAAACAAGUAAAGUAUUUAUGAGUGAGUCAUUGAAUCAUUCAUUCAAACUGUUUUUUUUUAUUUAUUUAUUUUUUAUAACUUAUUCAAAUUAAUUGAACAUUUUUAAAUUUUAUUUUACAGGCUUUUCUCCUCCUUUUAGAACACACUGUAAAAAAUUACUCUUGAGGGUGUUAAAUACAACCCAUGAAAAUCAGUUAUAGUUUACUUAAAUAUAUGAGUUAGCAAGUAAAAUAAAAAAUAAUGGGUACAUUCUACCUACACUAUCUAUUUUUUAACAGUAUUAACUGCAAGACUAAAAAAUUAAGUAAAAUUUACCCCUAAAUAUUAGCUUUGGCACCGCAAAGUGCGCAUGCGUCAACAUCCAGGCGGGAAUCGCGGGAGUCACCAUUUUCCAUGUCAUUGGCGGUGGCGGAACCUUGAUUGGUGAACCUACGGGUAAGUUUUUAUUUAACUUGUUGAUAUCAUCAUGAAUGCAAAUGUUAAGUUGUUUUACGGUAAAAUCUACCAGAAAAAUAGUCAUUUCUCUGUCUCUGUUGUCGCACCACAGUCUGGUGACAGAUUGAUAUGUUAAAAUUUGUUGUCAGUCAAGUUAGCAUUGGAAGCAGAAUACAUUGUCCAGUAACGUUACUUGCCCCUGCGAAUGCGAGUAAACAUCUACGCUUAUGAUUGAAAUAUAGCUUCCAUUAUUAUGUACAUGGCUGAAAUUCGUGAACAGCGAAGCUGUUACACACGAGUGGUUGAACUUGAGCAAGUGAAGAGAGAGAGAGCAAUGGACGGUUGAUGUAACAUACAGACGACAAGGCGUUCGGAGCAGAAAAAUAGCAGUAAAGCUGUCGAUGUGGUAUGCUAGAUAAUUACUGUUAAAGUUUUCUUGCAUUUAUCUGUUGAUAUUGAGUUUUGUGUUAGAAGGGAUCAAUUUAUAAAAGCCAUUUUAUUAUUAUUAUUAUUAUUAUUAUUAUCAUUUACGGAUUUAUAAUUAACGUUUGCCUUUCCGUGGGCGUUUUUAAUUUAAUGUCUGUUUUAAAAAAAGUGUUUCGGGGUUUAUAAGAUCCAAAUUUAUUGUGAAGUAACGUUAAUUAGCCUAUUUUUUAAUAUAGUUGUUUGUAUAAGUGAGUGCAUCUUCCAGUUCCUGUGUUUUAGCAAUGUGCUUCAUUCGUGAUAAUUUAUAUUAAGUAUUUAAAAUGCAAAAAUGUCAGACUUUUACUACUGUGUCGUAAACAAUACUGUGUACUAACUACUAACUGUGUGCUGGUGCCUAAGUGUUACAUUUAUAAAUUUGGUAUUACAGCUAAUCAGCCUCUGACUGAGCACAUGGUUAGCAUUAAUAUGCAGCGAUUAGCAUGUGCUCUGCUAACGACAAAAAGCAACAGAUUGAAAAUAUGUAAUUUUUUUAUGUUCCUUAUGUGAUCUGUAACAUAACAGUUGUAAUGUUUUUGUAAUUGAUUUAUGUGUUUGAACUUGGAUUUUCAAAUACACUGCACAAAUAACUUCUAGUUGGUGGAAUUGUUUAGCAAAAUAUGGAAAAUAUAAAUGGAUAUGAAUAUAAAUUAUGUGCAAUUCAUUUUACAGGAGUGUGAUAAUCUAAUAAUUUCAAUAUCCUGUUUCUGACAUUUUUUUCUUUUUUCUCCUGCAGCAGAAACCAAAAAAAACACUGACCACCAGCCCUGCUGUCAGUGUUUUAAGAGAGAGGUGGCCUGGAUUGUUCAGUAAGGCUCAGAUCAAAGAGGAAUUCCGACGUAUAACAACAGUCUCCUUGGAGGAGACAUUUAUGCUGAAUCUUGAUGCCAAAGGAGGAGCAUUUGGUACCAAGAUGCAUCCUCUCCUGAGCACUGUACAUGAGAGCCACCAAUCUACCGCACUGGAAUAGUGCGUGUAAAGCCAAGGGUGAAAUUAGUGUGUUUUCUAAGAUGUGAAGAUUCGCUACUGUAAUUCUUUGCACUGUUUCCUUAAAGCAAGGAAACCGGCUGCAAGUAAAUUGGAUGUUUACCAUUCUAAAAAGAUGUACAUGUGGCUAAUAAUUUGUGAUUUGAAUGCUGAAUAAUAAAUUUCAGUGCUGGUAAUAACAAACACUUUGAGAGCAGAAGAUAUGGGCGGGAGAAACCUGCAUUAUGGAUUAGCUUCAUAUGAAUGCACUCUACUAAAUAUUUCAGAGCCACGUUCUCAUCUGCAAAAAAACAAUUCGGUGGAAGGCUCUUUGGCAUAAGGCUACGUGGAAAAUCAAGAGCGCAAAUUUGCAAAUCAUAUACUUGAAGGAAUGCAAAUAUGUUUAUUUGUGUGCAUCCAUUCAAGCUCAUUUAAAAUUCAUCGUUUGAUACAUGAAUCACUUUUGUUUGUUGGAUAUAGAAAACAAAAUGCAUUUGCAUAAUACAACAUAUUUUUCAAAGAAUAAUUUUCUCUCUCAAAACAAAAAUGUCAUGGAGCCGCACAUGCAAAAAGAGCAAAAAAAGGACCUUAUAAUUAGUCAAACUCACUGUUAAGUUAGUGUCUCAUUCCCUCUGAUGGAGUCUUGGGAAACAGCUUUGCGCAAACAAAAAUAACCAUCACACUCCACAAUCUCCUACUGGACUGGACUCCCCACAAAACCCUUAUCAAACGAGUCUGAACCACUUAUUUAACAAAUCACUCAGCAUAAACUAACUCACAGUACAUCAUCUAUAAGGAGGAGUCAUUAUGAACCAUAAGGAGCACAAAUUAAAAUAUUAAUGCAACAUAUGCAUGAUGUUUAUUAAAACCUGCAACAACGCUUGACAACUGAGAGGUAAAACAUUUACCUUUGGGGUAUUGUCACAGAUCCCUUGUCUCCUGGACUCCAAUUCCCAUGAUCCUCGUCUCCUCACCUGCACUCACUUCCCUUGUCAGCUCCCCAUCAGCACUCAUCAUCUACACCUGGACUUUCUCAUCAGCACUCCCUAUUUAUAUGGACUCACUCCCUUCACUCCUUGUCUGUUCUUAAAUGUUAUACUAUGUGUUUUGAUGUUGUCUCUCUACGUUGUGUCAAUAAAAACCCAUUUGCUGUGGAUGUCCGUGAACGCCUCGUCUUUAACAACACCAGACCGUAACAGGUAUAUGUACAACCAAAAUCUAAUGUCACGCUAACCACUAAAAAUGAAAGCUUUGCUGGAGAAAAUGUUUGUAUAAAUUACAGCAGCACAUAAUACUGUUUUUUCCAGAAAAAAAAAUGCACUGUUGAGGAAAAAAAAGGAAGAAAAAAAAAAAGUUGGUCACCUUUUAUACAUUCAGAAAUUAUGUGAAAUACUGUGAAUAAAACAAAACAUUUACAAACAUUAUAAACACUACAUACACUAUUCCACAACAAAUCCUUUAAAAUGUAAUGUUAUUCAGAAAAUUAGUUUUAAAAAGCAUAAAAGAAACAUCAUUUAGUGGCAUUCAUUCACUAUAAAAAAAAUGAUUUGUUGGUUUAACUUUAAAAAGUAACCCAGUUGUUCCCUUAAAAUUGAGUUAAUUGAUAUUUUAGUUAAUACCAAGAAAGAAAGAGAACAACAUGUUUUUCUUUGUAUUAACUCAAAUAUUUAGUUUAAAUGAACUCAAAAUUUAAGGAAGCCUGGCUACUUAAAGUUAAACCAUCAAAUCAUUUUUUUUUUUUUACGGUCUUAAAAGCAAAAUUUAUUAUAAAUGCCAAGCCUAAACUAAUUAAUUUAAAGCAAAACUGAAACUACAGGCAUGUGGGAAGUGCAUAAACUUGGGCUAACGUGUCUCUCUCAUUCAGCACCAUUCCAAAUGUGUGUGCUUUGUGCAUGUUUUGCGUGUUUGACAUUAAUUGCAUUAUAUAAGUCGCAUUAGAAUUACAGUCGCAGUGUUUCAGAUGAUUAAAAAAUGCAACUUACAUUCCAGAAAAUUGGGUGCUUCAUAUUAUGAAUAAGUGCUUGAAGCAAACUCAGAAUGCAACAAUUUUUGAGACAGUUUUUAUGCAUCAUUUGAUAAAGUAUAUUGCUGUACAUGGGCAGAAACAAAUAAUAUAAAAUACCAAGAUCAGUCACAGUCACAUUAAUCUUCAUCUUGCCAACACUCAACACCAGUGUUUCGCCAGACACGGGUCACAUGACCUCCACUGACUUCACUCCUAUUAGUAUUCACUGCAUUGUUAAACAAUUCUCAACUUUGUCACAUCACCAACUCUUGCUGAAAAGACUGACUUCAGAUCACUGAUGGCCAUACAAAUGUAUCAUCUGCUGUAUAAAUAAAAGCAGAAACUCUACUAAUUGCAUACAGUCAUCCCACCCAGGCCUAAUAUAUUCUGUCUCCUUUAGUCGUUAGGAGUGUGUAGGAUGCAGGACAGCAGCAGGGAAGGAAGGGAAAAAAAAAAACAUCAUUUGGCUUCCUGACCGGCAGUCUACCGUCAGCAGCACCUGCACCGCUGACUGCCUGGUAAAGCAGUAUUAUUACAAUGUCAGCUUUAAUCAACAUUGUACUCAGCAAUGAGAUUGUGCAGCGCUGCAGUUGUAGAGUGUGGCGUCCUGAUCAGCCUACUGACCACUAAAACACACGGACACAUACAGUAACUCAUGCUUCAAGAUCUGCUGUUCAAGCAAUAUUAGAGCAACAGUGAAUGCUAUCUUUGUUUUUUUACCAUGCAUUUUCUCCAUAUAUAGCCUACACACUUAAAAAAAAAAAAAAAAAAAAAAAAUAUAUAUAUAUAUAUAUAUAUAUA